rnacentral:rRNA from 1 species
CCUACGGGAGGCAGCAGUGAGGAAUAUUGGUCAAUGGGCGUAAGCCUGAACCAGCCAAGUCGCGUGAGGGAUGAAGGUUCUAUGGAUUGUAAACUUCUUUUAUAUGGGAAUAAAGUGUGGGACGUGUCCUAUUUUGUAUGUACCUUAUGAAUAAGGAUCGGCUAACUCCGUGCCAGCAGCCGCGGUAAUACGGAGGAUCCGAGCGUUAUCCGGAUUUAUUGGGUUUAAAGGGUGCGUAGGUGGAUUGUUAAGUCAGUUGUGAAAGUUUGCGGCUCAACCGUAAAAUUGCAGUUGAAACUGGCAGUCUUGAGUACAGUAGAGGUAGGCGGAAUUCGUGGUGUAGCGGUGAAAUGCUUAGAUAUCACGAAGAACGCCGAUUGCGAAGGCAGCUCACUAAACUGCAACUGACACUGAGGCUCGAAAGUGUGGGUAUCAAACAGGAUUAGAUACCCUUGUAGUC